rnacentral:rRNA from 1 species
CAUUGGCUCAACCAANGUAUGCUUUGGAAACUGUUAGACUUGAGUNCAGAAGGGGAGAGUGGAAUUCCAUGUGUAGCGGUGAAAUGCGUAGAUAUAUGGAGGAACACCGGUGGCGAAAGCGGCUCUCUGGUCUGUCACUGACGCUGAGGCUCGAAAGCGUGGGUAGCGAACAGGAUUAGAUACCCUGGUAGUNCACGCCGUAAACGCUGAGUGCUAGGUGUUAGGUCCUUUCCGGGACUUAGUGCCGACGCUAACGCAUUAAGCACUCCGCCUGGGGAGUACGACCGCAAGGUUGAAACUCAAAGGAAUUGACGGGGGCCCGCACAAGCGGUGGAGCAUGUGGUUUAAUUCGAAGCAACGCGAAGAACCUUACCAGGUCUUGACAUCCCGAUGCCCGCUCUAGAGAUAGAGUUUUUCUUCGGAACAUCGGAGACAGGUGGUGCAUGGUUGUCGUCAGCUCGUGUCGUGAGAUGUUGGGUUAAGUCCCGCAACGAGCGCAACCCUUAUUGUUAGUUGCCAUCAUUAAGUUGGGCACUCUAGCGAGACUGCCGGUAAUAAACCGGAGGAAGGUGGGGAUGACGUCAAAUCAUCAUGCCCCUUAUGACCUGGGCUACACACGUGCUACAAUGGUUGGUACAACGAGUCGCAAGCCGGUGACGGCAAGCUAAUCUCUGAAAGCCAAUCUCAGUUCGGAUUGUAGGCUGCAACUCGCCUACAUGAAGUCGGAAUCGCUAGUAAUCGCGGAUCAGCACGCCGCGGUGAAUACGUUCCCGGGCCUUGUACACACCGCCCGUCACACCACGAGAGUUUGUAACACCCAAAGUCGGCGA